rnacentral:rRNA from 1 species
UACAGAGGGGGCAAGCGUUGUUCGGAAUUACUGGGCGUAAAGAGCGCGCAGGCGGUCGUUCAAGUCGCGUGUGAAAGCCCCCGGCUCAACUGGGGAGGGUCACGCGAUACUGAUCGACUCGAAGGCAGGAGAGGGAAGUGGAAUUCCCGGUGUAGUGGUGAAAUGCGUAGAUAUCGGGAGGAACACCAGUGGCGAAGGCGACUACCUGGCCUGUUCUUGACGCUGAGGCGCGAAAGCUAGGGGAGCAAACGGG